rnacentral:rRNA from 1 species
GUCCACGCUGUAAACGAUGAGUGCUAGAUGUUAGAAGGGUCACCUUUUAGUGUCGAAGCUAACGCAUUAAGCACUCCGCCUGGGGAGUACGGUCGCAAGAUUAAAACUCAAAGGAAUUGACGGGGGCCCGCACAAGCGGUGGAGUAUGUGGUUUAAUUCGAAGCAACGCGCAGAACCUUACCAGCCCUUGACAUAUGGAUUAAGAAGAUGAGAGAUCAUUUUUGUCGGUUCGGCCGGAUCCAAUACAGGUGCUGCAUGGCUGUCGU